UACGUAGGGUGCGAGCGUUGUCCGGAAUUAUUGGGCGUAAAGAGCUUGUAGGCGGUUUGUCGCGUCUGCCGUGAAAAUUCGAGGCUCAACCUCGAACUUGCGGUGGGUACGGGCAGACUAGAGUGUGGUAGGGGAGACUGGAAUUCCUGGUGUAGCGGUGAAAUGCGUAGAUAUCAGGAGGAACACCCAUGGCGAAGGCAGCAAACUGGUCCGUAUCUGACGCUGAGGCGCGAAAGCGUGGGUAGCAAACAGG
rnacentral:rRNA from 1 species